GGCUCACCAAGGCGACGAUCAGUAGCUGGUCUGAGAGGAUGGCCAGCCACAUUGGGACUGAGACACGGCCCAAACUCCUACGGGAGGCAGCAGUGGGGAAUCUUUGCGCAAUGGGCGAAAGCCUGACGCAGCCAUGCCGCCGUGAAUGAUGAAGGUCUUAGGAUUGUAAAAAUUCUUUCACCGGGGACGAUAAUGACGGUAACCGGAGAAGAAGCCCCGGCUAACUUCGUGCCAGCAGCCGCGGUAAUACGAAGGGGGCUAGCGUUGUUCGGAUUUACUGGGCGUAAAGCGCACGUAGGCGGACUUUUAAGUCAGGGGUGAAAUCCCGGGGCUCAACCCCGGAACUGCCUUUGAUACUGGAAGUCUUGAGUAUGGUAGAGGUGAGUGGAAUUCCGAGUGUAGAGGUGAAAUUCGUAGAUAUUCGGAGGAACACCAGUGGCGAAGGCGGCUCACUGGACCAUUACUGACGCUGAGGUGCGAAAGCGUGGGGAGCAAACAGGAUUAGAUAC
rnacentral:rRNA from 1 species